CACGUAGGGGGCGAGCGUUGUCCGGAUUUAUUGGGCGUAAAGAGCUCGUAGGCGGCUCGGUAAGUCAGGUGUGAAAACUCUAGGCUCAACCUAGAGACGCCACCUGAUACUGCUGUGGCUAGAGUCCGGUAGGGGAGCAUGGAAUUCCUGGUGUAGCGGUGAAAUGCGCAGAUAUCAGGAGAAACACCAGUGGCGAAGGCGGUGCUCUGGGCCGGAACUGACGCUGAGGAGCGAAAGCGUGGGGAGCAAACAGG
rnacentral:rRNA from 1 species